CGCUUAUCUUCAUUCGCAUAAACAUUCCCAAAUAUCCAGCGGUUGCUUUCUUCUUCACGCAUCCUGCAGGUGAAAUGUCCUCCUGUGUCCUGCUCACUGCCCUUUUUGCCCUUCCUCUUGCUGUGGGUUGGGUCGUACUGGGUGAAAGAGAAGAAGCACAGGUGUUGUGUGCUGGAAAAGAAUUUCGUCUGCCGGUGUACUCGACAUCCAGAACAGUGGCUUUUACACCACACCCCGAGGGGCCAAGACGCGUCCUG